AGUUCCUAGAAGGCAGAAAAGUCAAAUCCUUGUGAACACAACUCGUUCUCCCUCCUGGUGAGAGGCUAUGGAUUAGGGAUGAGUUUUUGGAAGCCAACAACGAAUCUCCCUCAUACUCCACUGAAGGAAUUGUCACAUGUACAUGCGACAAUUUUCUCUGAAAGUUCAGUUAGCAACAUUGCUGCAAGUUAGUGCUAUCAGUACAGGUUAGAUACUUUAAACUUCCAUAGGAAUUGUAAGCCUGCAAACUGGAAAUCAAGGGCUUGCUUUGUCAUUUUUUUUUUUUUUUACCUUCCUCCCCACCCCACAUUGAGGCUAACAGCGACAGCUAUGUUAGGGCAGCGACAUAUCCUCAAUUGCCAGCAACAUGGAUCAUUCUCUCAGGCCCAAAGCUGGACCACUACAAAAACCAGUUCAGAGGAUACUGUUCAGGACCCGAGGCCUCGGAUAAGAUUGUGAAGUACCUGCAGGAUGUUCUUAGGGACAGGCUGGCCUGGAAUCUCAGCAGAGGACAUCAAAUGGCUUUCAAGGUUUCGCUAAAAAAGUCAAAGGAAAACUGGUUUUAACCUUCUCACACAUGGCAAAGAUUAAUUGGGGACCACAAGAAAGCUUUAAAAACUCUUCAGGAGUCAACAUGUAACAGCAGAAUAAUGUCAAAGUUACAGAAAACAAACUUAAAUCAACCUGUUCCACUCUCUCAUCAUAUAGGUCCCAAAUAUCUGGGACCAGAAAGAAUCUUCCAUGUACAUGUAGCAUCCACUCAGAGACCGUCCUCAGACAAGGUCUUUUCCUCCCUGUAGUAACCCUAAUGCAUUUAAUGGUUUCUAACACUGACCAAACAAAGGAAAAAAAGAAAUGGUGAAAGGGGGAGUACUUUAGUUAAGAAGCCACAUGCAGAAAAUUUGGAUAAUUUAUAGUUUCUGAGGCAACUUUUGCUAUACUGUAACAAGAUUUAUAGACCAGGCGAUACUAAAAAUCUAGUCAACAUGCAGGCCAGAACUGUCAUAUUUUAGGAAAUUUAAACUUUAUUAUUUAUAAACAAGCUGUUUCAAAUGGGUCUCACAUACAGGGGGAAAUUCAAUUACUUCACUUUUUGCUCUUUUAAUGCAGCUGCAGUUAUGUUUUGCAUCCAACUUGCAUUACCUCCCUGCACUUCAGUACAUCCUCAUGCCUAAGUGCUCUUCUCUGGUACACUUCCCUUCCACUGGGUGGAGAUGCCAAGGCCCACAGCAGUGUCCUCGGGCAUGGAGUAUAGCCCAAAGGUAUCCACAUGUUUUACUGUUGGUUUUGGAACUGGGACUCACUGCAGAUGAUUUUAAUAAGAGAUAUCCUAAAAAGCCAUUUAAUUCUAACAAAAAACAAAUAGGCAACUUUAUACUAUAUAGGCUCAUAUAGUAUACAGAGCCUACAAUUCAAUUUGAAAUAGAGUUUAGAUUGAACCAACAAGUUUGGAGGAGGAAACAUGAUUGAAGCUAAACAGACAUAGUCAAAUCAGAAAUAGUAUGCAUCGCACACAUAGCCACAGUAAUUAAAAACGAUUUUAGAUGUAGACCAUGACUCAACAACAUGCAAAUUAAGCAAUAUUUUGGGAUAAUGACUGGUGUGCUUAUUACAUUAUUUUUCUUGUUGCUUUCUUUCCUAGGUUAUGUUGGAUUUCUGUUACUCUUUGCCUAGCAGCUUGAAUUAUGUCAUCCAUCCCUUUAAAUAGGCGUUUUGAGUCUCCUUCCCUCGGCGAAAUCAGAUAUAUUUCAGAACAUUGAAGUACAAACAUUGAAAUAGUUCCUCUAACAACUCAGGGUCAACUGUGCUACUAUCAAACCCUAGAAUCGUAUCCAUAUCUGAAACAAAAUGUUCAAAAGCAUCAGGUUAACUGUUGAAUUUUCCUGUUCCCAUUUCUUUGCUCACACUAAAAGAAAGAAGGUACAAGAAGUGACCCAGUCACCAAGACACAAAGGAAAAAAGUCAGAAGAUAUACAGAAGGAACACGAAAAGCAAAGGACCUGAAUAUAAAGCAUCUGGACAUUUUCUAAAGAUAUGACAGUAAGUGUUGAGAAAGUCAUUUGCAUAUUUUGAUCAUCUACCAACUUUGUUUCACUUAGAGAAGCUAAAUUUUAUUAUAGCUAAAACAUAAAACAAAGUUACUUUUAUACACAUUAACUGGAAAUGCCAAUUACAAGAAACUAAAAGCAUUUUAAACCUGAGAAGAAUCCUGAAGAGUUUAUCUAGUCUGUCAUUUUUAUCACAGAGCAAGCUGGGAUGCUCUAACAGUAGGGCCUCCCCCUAAGUGUGCCAGAAGAGGCAAAAGGGAGAAAGGGAUAGAGAAUGUGUUUGAAGAAAUGGCAGAAAACUUCCCUAGUUUGGUAAAGGAAAAAGUCACACAAGUUCAGGAGGCACAGAGAACCCUAAGCAGGAAGAAUGCAAACAGGCCCAGACACAUCAUAAUUAAAAUGCCAAAAAAUUAACAACAAAGAGAGAAUCUUAAAGGCAGUAAGAGAAAAGCAAACUGUUACCUACAAGGGAGCUCCCAUAAGGCUGACACCUGAUUUUUCAUCAGAAACAUACACUUGGGUGAAGAUUUAAAUAAACAAACAAAUAAAAGCCUAACAGCCCCCAGGGCCUCUAACAAAAAAAAAAACAAACCUCAAAAAGACAUAUGUUAAAGACAUAUUAACCAUACAGUUGCUCCCUCCAUUUCGUAAGUGUGCUACUACACUCACCGAAGCCAAGCAUGGCACCUUAUCAAGGUUAAAGAACUCGUUAAAGUCAAAUUCUCCUGGGGACUGCUCAGGCAAGACGGCAUCCCUCGGCACUUCCUGAUCUGCAGCAGGCUCCUGUGCAAGGAUGACCUCCACCUCCUCCUCUUCGGCCACUCCUCCAUUGCAUUCGGCUAUGCCUAAAAGCAAAACCAGGUCAGAAGCAGGCUGAGCACGCUAAUUGCUACUGACUUAGUCUGUGGCCUCAGCCAUCAUUACAUGCAGAAGAGACAUAGGUGACUUUAAAAGCGGACUUCUGUUACAGUACAGCAUGUUCAGUAGAAAAACAGUUCUCUUCCUAUGGAAGGAGAAUUGUGGUUCCUCCUCUGCCCAUUCUUCAAGUUUCCCCCAGUGCAGUAUAGUGCUUUCCCUCUAGUGCGCCACAAGAAUUUUUAAAACCUGCAAUACCUGACUCUUUAGUCAGGGGCACUGACCUCUCCCUUAGAUUGCCAAAUUUAAAAAAUGAUAGCAGCCAACACAAUAGCCCUCCAGUAUGAAGCCCCGCCUUGAACCAUAAAUACAGGGUGUCCCAAGAAAAUGUGUACACACUCUAACAGCUGGGAGCUCAAUUUGAAAAUGAAAUGUGUAUUAAUAAAUACUCCCUUUGUAAUUAGUCAAAGUGUGUGUACACAUUUCUUUGGGACACCCUAUGUAUGGGUCACCUAAUAGAGAUGCAUCUUACUGGCCAGGUCACAUAAUAAGGUUACGUAUGAUCGGUUAAUUGUUGGUCCCAGAAAUUCUUCUACACAAGUGUAGGCACCUGAUAUUUUCACAAAGUUACUUUGGAGCAAAAAGGGUAGGCAAUUACUACCAUUAUUAUUAAUUUUUUGUAAAUCAAUCAAAAUCAUACCUAUUUUUUGUCAGAUCAGCAAGAAAUACCUUUUUUGAUGUGCCACAGAAUUUUAGUAAUUAGUUUUCCUGUGCCAUGAGAUGGAAAAGCUUGAAAAUUGCUGGUGUGGUGGAUUAUUUUUCUAACAGGAUCUUUUUUUUAAGGAGUGGCCUUUGCAUGUCUUACUGCUUAAAAAUGGAACCAAAUUAAUUUGGUUCUGUCUUUAUACAUGCAUCUGCACCACCACUUAAGUCAGGGUUCAGAAAGCUAAGAUACUGUUGCAGUUGUGUCCCAACUAAGACUCAUACAUUUAUAAAAGAAACUAAUUUUUAGCAUAGUCACUCUAAUUCUGUGUUGUGAUGGGGACAUCUCUUAACAGAUGAAUGGCUUUUGCAAGCAGCACGAGUGCCCCAUAUGCAACUUUCUGUUGUUAAUCCUCAUCUUAGGCUAUUUCUUCCAUUGAUUUUUUUUUUUAAGUGAGAGUGGCAGGGAGGGAGGGGGAGAGAGACACAGUGAGAGAGAAAUGGAUGUGAGAGACACUUCGAUUGGUUGCCUCUCUCAUGUGCUCCGGUAGGGCAGGAGAAUCAAACCUGCAAAUCAGGUACAUGCCCUUGACCAGGGAUUGAACCCGUGACCCCUCAGUACGUGGGCUAAUGCUCUUAACCACUGAGCCAUACCAGCCAGGACUGUGUGCAGCUUUAAGCUCUCUAGAAAGCAGGCUGGGCCUGACAACUGAGAGUCUGUACGAGUAGGAAUAUGUACUAGCAGACAAACACAACUGGCCAUUUAUUAUGAUAAACUCAAAAGUCAGGGACCUAGGCAAAGUAACUAAGAACAAAGUCUCCCAAGUUACCUAUUUCCUGCAUCACCCGAGGGGAAAAAAGUGUAACAGCAUACAUCCUGUUCAACUCCCAGCUUCACUAUUUACUUCCUCAGGGUCCUCAGACAAGUCACUAAAGCCCCCUGUACCUUCAAUUGCUCACUUAUAAGAUGGGCAUAAAAGCACCUGCCUCACAGGAUUGUUGGAAGUAGGAUUAUAUAGACAAAAUGCUUACCACUCUGUGUAAUAUAUAUAUAUAGUGUGCUCAAUAAAUGAGAUCCCCAUUAUAUCUACCACGUUUCUGUCUCUGGGAAUCCUUUUGUGUGCACAGUGCUCGUAGCAGCACAACGUGAGGACUUUCUGUUUAGCAUUACAGGCAGAGCAAGUUGAGGAGGUAGUAUAGGAAGCCGUUUCAAAAUCAGGCUGCAACUGUAAGAACUUGCUACUUCCUAAUAAAUGUGCCCAUUCCUAAGUGCAUAGUUAUAAGCCAAUUAUAAGCACAUCGCGUUUUAGAACAGUGAGCUUCCCUCCCCGUUUUUGCUGACCUUCCUUCACAGAGGCUGUCCGUCGCCUUGUUCUUUUUCUCCCCUUCUGAUCUUCUUCCAGGAUCUUAUCAUCAAAGCCAGUCAGCUCAAUGGUUUCAGACUGACUUGUGGGUCCAGCUGAGAACCAUUCUGGUUCUUCUUCUGUGUAGGAAUCGUUUCUUCUACGCUCACCAAAGACACGCUUACUAUCCCCAAACUCCCUCUGGAAAAGUACAUAAUGCAGAUAAAAAAGAAAAUUCUAGUUAAGGCAUUUCUACCUCAAUCAAGGCCUUGGUGAAUUAAGUAAUACUCAAUAGUGCAAUGAAGAUACUAUGUUGUAGACUUGAAGCCCCUCUUUGCCCCCAUCCAGCUCGCUCUAUUCCUCCCUAUCUGGCUUAAGAAUGGGCCAUGUUCGUCCAGGAUCUCAGAGUACAAAUGAGGUGACUACUGAGUCCCUAAGUACACAGGUGCCAAGUAACCUAGAAGACAAACCCUGAAGCGCUUGUCCUUGUAGUCCCUCUCUCGGUCUCUUUCUCUCAAGUCCCGCAGGUCCUUGUCGCUAAGCCGGUGGUCCUUCUCGAAGUUCCUGGCAGAGAUUAUCCUCCCACUGCCAAUUCUUCGUCCUCCAAUCAGGCGAAGUCCAUCACCGUCUUUCUCCAAUGGACUUCCUGAGCGCCGGGAGCUAACAGCGGCCGUGACGUGGCAACCCCCUCCGAAGCUUCGCCUCUGUGGGCUGAGAACAACAUCUAAGUCAUCUUCUUUCAGGCGUUCUCGUGGGUCUGGAAAGAUGCCAGAAACAGAAAGAUUUAUUAAUCAAUGACUGAUAAAUGCCAACUAUUCUCAGGUGUGAACAAAUACUCAAGUGACUGACUAUACAAAGCCGAUAGGAGCAAAAGAUGGAGCAAUGAGCCAGCUGCACACCGGCAUUAACUAUGCUAGCAGUACCAUUUGUGACAGGGUACACCUCUACUGGAAUGUCAAUAGAGGAUGAAGAACCACAUUCUUCAAUAAUAGGCUGAGAAGUGGGAAAACAAAACCAUUCUUGGACUGUAAAAGCUGGUGGGAAUAACUUAAACAUCAAGGUAAACUUAUACUUAUGGUUCUUGAGAGCAGAGCUUGUUAAACCAAUUUCAGGGCCUCAAGGAAUCAUAUACAAAAUUGUGUGUUUCAGCAGUGAGUGUUUAUACCUUCAAACGAUUGCCAGUAAAUCCUAAAGAAGUUAAGAAGUAGCACUUUAAACCAAUGACGUUUCUCAAAAUGUGACCCGGAUCCACCUGCGCAUUUAGGGAAACAGGAGAAUGCUCCUCUUCGUGGGCUGAGAGAGUGGAACCUGGUAGCAAAGUCUCAACUGCAUAAGACAUAGGUAUCCCAGCCUGAGAGGAUCCCCACUUAAGUGGGGAGGAGUCAACAAAGUUUGCUUUUUCGUAACUGUCCACUGAACAUUUCCUGGGAGCCAGGCUAGUCUAGCACAGGCAGAUGACUCUCUUUCCUGGCCUCACAGCUCUCCAGUUUCUCAAGAGGACUUGCUAUCUCAUCUAGAGCCCUUAACAACAAUUAUUCCUGGAAAGGAACCACUUUGGGAUAUUUUAAAAGAAAACCUUCAAAUUUAGCUAAAGGAAAAAUACUUGGAAAAGUGCCCACUAUGGUUUUCUGCACAAUUGAAACAUUAAAACUGUAUAAUGAUUUUUCCUUUUUUUUUUUUGGUUAAUCCUCACCUGAGGACAUUUUUUCCACUGCUUUUUAUUUUUAUUUUAUUAUUAUUUUUAAAAUAUAUUUUAUUGAUUU